rnacentral:misc_RNA from 1 species
AUUAUAUCUCAGAAAGGCUGCAAACGGAUUACUCUAGGCCAUCCCAUCCCAACUUGCAAAGAUCUUCGAACAUUCUUCGGAGAAUGAACCAAUUCCUUCAACUCUUAACUUGCCAAAACUGCAGAAGAAGCCGGACGAUAGUGACCAUCGCAAAGCACAUGUUGAAGAUGCACCUUCCAUUGCAUAGAGAGCAGCUUUUUGCACUUGGAAGACACACCAGCCAACAAAGAACCAUAUGAAUUUCCAUCUUCGGUGCCAAAAGAGAAGAGCUGCUAUCCAUUUCAAGCACAAUUUCCUAUGCCAUUUCAGUUGCAAAACAAUCCACCACAACCUGCCUGACCUGGAUUACCAUGGGAAGCUCCAUUAACAAUAAGCAUAAUCCACCCUGGAAUUGACCAGACCAACCGUGGUAACCCGACAACUGGCAUUAGCAACGAAGUCCCUAUUCCAGGUAGGCAAAGUCGUGCAGGUUCAAUCGAUAGAAACCGGGCAGAUGAUCUCCACAUACAACCAGGUUCCAAAGACAAUCCCGCAAAACAUGAAGAGUCCAUAGAAACGUGCGAAUCCGUUGACAGACCUGGAGCUUCCAAACCACCUCAGUAAGUAACAUCACCAAGAUCAUGACUCACUACAGCAUAAGCAGAUUUCAAAGAAAACCCCCCAGAGGGGGAGGGCAGCCAAUAAUUACCAUCCAAAUCUUCAAUAUCAUCGGCAUAAACAAAACACGGCCAACAGACUAAGAAUAUCAUGAUGUAAGAAGAAAGAACUUGCCAAUCCCAACUUCCAUUUGGGAGCCAAAACUCAGCCCGCAUUUAGAUAUAUGGAUGAUCCAGGACAAUUAAAUUAGGAAUAAGAGGAUCUUGAAGAAGCAAUCAAUUUGGCCAAAAAGCAUUCUGAAUCCUAUUGAAGUCUUCUAAAAAAAAA